GACACUCCCCCUGCCCUGUGAACAUAGCAAAGACACAUGGUAAGGAGAACAUAUGAGAUGGAAGACGUUGUUGCUGCCAUGAUUAGAACCCUGAACACGUGUAUGCCCAGGUGAAAGAGUGGAGCUGAAUUUAGGUGGUUGUUGGGGUUCACAAUUGCUAUCAGGAGAGUUACCCCAUGAGAAAGCCUCAGCUUAUGUCUGGCUGGUUUAUAGAGACAAAGCCCAGGUUUUGUGGAUUUAUGUGGCCAAAGGAUAUGAAGACCUUACCCUGAUCCUGCAUGCACAACAUAGUCUGCGGCAGAAGGGGGAUGUGACCAUUAAACAGGUAGCAACUGGAAUGACUGAAUCCAAGUAAAUACUCAAACACAUUCUAUGUUCCAAGUUCUACGCACUGUUUCUACACGCUACCUGCUCUCUGCUUUCAUCUGUUUUGGCCUCAUUCUCAGGAGGUAGCAGGAUGGCAUCUUGCAUAUGUGGAUUUAUGUCCUCACAGUGUAAUAUUCCAAAAGGAGUUAUCUUCUCUUGGAUGUCCCAGACAGAGUGGUGGUUUUGGAUUAUUUUGCCUGGUUCAGGUCACACUCUUACUACUGAACCACUCACUGUGGUAAGGCUCAUCCAAUACAAUAAAAGUUUUGCGUUUCCUCUC